AAAAAUUGCACCACAUCAGCAGCUGGUCAGCAGCCCCGGCAAACCAGGACAUGCCGUGUGGCAAGGACACUGACGCGGGAGGCCACGAGAGACGGAGCCACGUGGGCGAUCCGCCUGCAUCGAUCGGACGGCCCAGAUCCGUUCCCGCUCACACGGAUGGCCCAGAUCAAAAGUGCGUGCAAACGGCCAGAUUUCACACGUGCAGACCGUCCAGAUUGAAUCACGCACGGAUGACCCAGAUCGCACGCGAUGGACGGCCCAGAUUUAUUCUCAAUUUAAUCGUGAUCGGACAGCCCAGAUUAAAAUGUAAUGGACGGCUUAGAUUGAAAGGAGAAGGUUAUAAAUAA
rnacentral:lncRNA from 1 species